UCCCUGUUGGACUAGUGGCUAGCAUGCGGCACUCUCAUUGCCAUGGUCCGGCUUCAAUUCCUGGUGAGGGAA